rnacentral:rRNA from 1 species
AUUGAACGCUGGCGGCAUGCCUUACACAUGCAAGUCGAACGGUAACAGGUCUUCGGAUGCUGACGAGUGGCGAACGGGUGAGUAAUACAUCGGAACGUGCCUAGUAGUGGGGGAUAACUACUCGAAAGAGUGGCUAAUACCGCAUGAGAUCUACGGAUGAAAGCAGGGGAUCGCAAGACCUUGUGCUACUAGAGCGGCCGAUGGCAGAUUAGGUAGUUGGUGGGAUAAAAGCUUACCAAGCCGACGAUCUGUAGCUGGUCUGAGAGGACGAUCAGCCAAGCGGGGACGGAGGAACGGCCCAGACUCCGACGGGAGGCAGCAGUGGGGAAUUUUGGACAAUGGGCGCAAGCCUGAUCCAGCAAUGCCGCGUGCAGGAUGAAGGCCUUCGGGUUGUAAACUGCUUUUGUACGGAACGAAAAGCCCUGGGUUAAUACCCUGGGGUCAUGGCGGUACCGUAAGAAUAAGCACCGGCUAACUACGUGCCAGCCGCCGCCGUAAAAC